UACGUAGGGGGCAAGCGUUGUCCGGAAUUAUUGGGCGUAAAGCGCGCGCAGGCGGCUAUUUAAGUCUGGUGUUUAAACCAUGGGCUCAACCUGUGGUCGCACUGGAAACUGGGUGGCUUGAGUACAGAAGAGGAAAGUGGAAUUCCACGUGUAGCGGUGAAAUGCGUAGAGAUGUGGAGGAACACCAGUGGCGAAGGCGACUUUCUGGGCUGUAACUGACGCUGAGGCGCGAAAGCGUGGGGAGCAAACAGG
rnacentral:rRNA from 1 species